CAUGCAAGUCGAGCGGAGAUGAGGUGCUUGCACCUUAUCUUAGCGGCGGACGGGUGAGUAAUGCUUAGGAAUCUGCCUAUUAGUGGGGGACAGCAUUCCGAAAGGGAUGCUAAUACCGCAUACGUCCUACGGGAGAAAGCAGGGGAUCUUCGGACCUUGCGCUAAUAGAUGAGCCUAAGUCGGAUUAGCUAGUUGGUGGGGUAAAGGCCUACCAAGGCGACGAUCUGUAGCGGGUCUGAGAGGAUGAUCCGCCACACUGGGACUGAGACACGGCCCAGACUCCUACGGGAGGCAGCAGUGGGGAAUAUUGGACAAUGGGGGGAACCCUGAUCCAGCCAUGCCGCGUGUGUGAAGAAGGCCUUAUGGUUGUAAAGCACUUUAAGCGAGGAGGAGGCUACUGAGACUAAUACUCUUGGAUAGUGGACGUUACUCGCAGAAUAAGCACCGGCUAACUCUGUGCCAGCAGCCGCGGUGAUACAGAGGGUGCGAGCGUUAAUCGGAUUUACUGGGCGUAAAGCGUGCGUAGGCGGCUUUUUUAGUCGGAUGUGAAAUCCCCAGCUUAACUUGGGAAUUGCAUUCGAUACUGGGAAGCUAGAGUAUGGGAG
rnacentral:rRNA from 1 species